rnacentral:ncRNA from 1 species
CUUCAUUUUAUAUUUUUAUCCUAUACUUUCUAAAAGAUAACAAAGGCGUGCAAAGGUUUCCUCUAAUUGAAUGGAGAUUGACCCUCAAGUACAAAGGUAGAAAGGAGCUUAAUUACGAGACUCACUCAUCAAGUAGGGACAAAAGUUAGCCUUAGUGAUUUCGAUUAUGUCAAAUGGAAGGGUCAUUGCUUAAUAAAUAAAAGUUAUUUUAAGGAUAACAUACUAAUCUUUCUCCAAGAGCUCACAUCAAUGAGAAGGUUUGGCAUACUGAUGUCAGCUCUUUACCACUUGGGGUUAUAGUAUGUUGCAAGGGUUGGGAUGUUUAUCCAUUAAAGUGGUAGGUGAGUUGGAUUCAAAACAUUCCUUAUUAUUUU